AUUUUAAUAGCUUAAAAAGAGCAUUGUAUUGAAGCUGCAAAAGUGGAUUUAUCCUUAAGAUA
rnacentral:tRNA from 1 species